AACGAACGCUGGCGGCAGGCUAAACACAUGCAAGUCGAACGCCCCGCAAGGGGAGUGGCAGACGGGUGAGUAACGCGUGGGAAUCUACCCAUCUCUGCGGAAUAGCUCCGGGAAACUGGAAUUAAUACCGCAUACGCCCUACGGGGGAAAGAUUUAUCGGGGAUGGAUGAGCCCGCGUUGGAUUAGCUAGUUGGUGGGGUAAAGGCCUACCAAGGCGACGAUCCAUAGCUGGUCUGAGAGGAUGAUCAGCCACAUUGGGACUGAGACACGGCCCAAACUCCUACGGGAGGCAGCAGUGGGGAAUAUUGGACAAUGGGCGCAAGCCUGAUCCAGCCAUGCCGCGUGAGUGAUGAAGGCCUUAAGGUUGUAAAGCUCUUUCACCGGUGAAGAUAAUGACGGUAACCGGAGAAGAAGCACCGGCUAACUCUGUGCCAGCAGCCGCCGUAA
rnacentral:rRNA from 1 species